GCACCCGUGGCUCAACUGGAUAGAGCACUGGAUUUCGGUUCCAGCGGUUAUAGGUUCGAAUCCUAUCGGGUGUA
rnacentral:tRNA from 1 species